UACAGAGGUGGCAAGCGUUGCUCGGAAUCACUGGGCGUAAAGGGUGCGUAGGCGGGUCUUUAAGUCAGAGGUGAAAUCCUGGAGCUCAACUCCAGAACUGCCUUUGAUACUGAGGAUCUUGAGUUCGGGAGAGGUGAGUGGAACUGCGAGUGUAGAGGUGAAAUUCGUAGAUAUUCGCAAGAACACCAGUGGCGAAGGCGGCUCACUGGCCCGGUACUGACGCUGAGGCACGAAAGCGUGGGGAGCAAACAGG
rnacentral:rRNA from 1 species